GACGAACGCUGGCGGCGUGCUUAACACAUGCAAGUCGAACGGAAAGGCUCUCUUCGGAGAGUACUCGAGUGGCGAACGGGUGAGUAACACGUGGGUAACCUACCCUUAUCUGGGGGAUAGCCGGGAGAAAUCCCGAUUAAUACCGCAUGAUGUGCAGUGCCAUGAGGUGCUGUACCAAAGGCUUCGGCCGGAUAUGGAUGGGCCCGCGGCAGAUUAGCUUGUUGGUGGGGUAACGGCCUACCAAGGCGACGAUCUGUAGCUGGUCUGAGAGGACGAUCAGCCACACUGGAACUGAGACACGGUCCAGACUCCUACGGGAGGCAGCAGUGGGGAAUCUUGCGCAAUGGGCGAAAGCCUGACGCAGCAACGCCGCGUGAGGGAAGACGGCUUUAGGGUUGUAAACCUCUUUCAGUAGGGACGAAAACAGACGGUACCUACAGAAGAAGCUCCGGCUAACUACGUG
rnacentral:rRNA from 1 species